AUUGCUGUCUAAUAUAACACCCAGAUUUCUGACUGUAGAGGAAGUAACAGUACAUCCGUCUAGUUGCAGAUUGUAAUCUACAAGAUUCUGUGUAGUGUUUUUUGGUCCAAUAAUUAGUAUCUCUGUCUUAUCCGAAUUUAAUUGGAGAAAAUUAUUUGUCAUCCAAUCUUUUACAUUUUUAACACACUCUGUUAGCUUAGAUAAUUGGGAAGUUUCAUCUGGUCUCGUUGAGAUAUAUAGCUGAGUAUCAUCAGCAUAACAGUGGAAGCUAAUUCCGUAUUUUCUAAUAAUAUUACCAAGGGGCAACAUGUAUAUUGAAAAUAGAAGGGGACCUAGGACGGAUCCUUGUGGCACUCCAUAUUUUACUGAUGAUAAAUGAGAUGACUCCCCAUUUAAGUAAACAAAAUGGUAGCGAUCGGACAGGUAGGAUCUAAACCAUCUUAGAGCCUGCCCUUGAAUACCUGUAUAGUUUUGUAAUCGAUCUAUGAGUAUGUCAUGAUCCCUCUCCAAGAAAUGUUUAUAGAAAACUGUAAUCAAUAUUAAUUUAAUCCUCUAACCUGAAUCUUUUGGUGAAUUAACUUUAUUAUAUUUUUCUUAAUUUGUUUAACCAGCACUAGUAAUUAAACAUGGGGUUAAUAGACAUAUUUUUGUUUUACAUCUGAAGAGCAAAAACACAAAGAACAUCAGUCCUGUUGGAGUUGAGGAAUUAACAUGGCUUUAUUGUGCCAAAUCAGAAAAGACUGAAAAGCUCCUAGAAUGAACAAAUCAUCAGUGCGUAAUUUCUGGAAUUUGGGCAGAAAAUCACUGAAUAUGAAAGACUGCAUGAAGAGAUACAGUAGAAGAAAAGCUGUUACUGAAAACGUUUGUCUUCACUCACAUGGUCCAGACUAAAGAGAAGCAGGUCUGAGGCCAGAAAUGGAGGAGUCUUUGUUGACAGUGUAUUCAGUGUUCACCAAGUGCAGCGCUGAUGCCUUAAGCUGUGAAGACUGCAUUCCCAAACUACUCUGUGAAAGCACAGAUGUCACACCCAUUAAAGAAACUUCACAAGUGAGAGCCGAUACCUCACAACCAACAACCAGGAAUCAAUGGACAUCUACGCGAGGCUUUUUCUUUUUUUCUUUUGAGGAAAGCACAGAGGACCGUCAGAGACUACAGCCACAUGAGCCAUGGACUGCUCUCACCGUUACCAUCAGGCAGAAAUUAUCACAGAACCAGCACCAGCAGACUGCAAGACAAGUUCCUUCCACAGGCAAUCAGACUGAACUGAACUUGUACCACCACACACAGUAACACCACACACACACACAUGUUUGUUUUUGUGAAAAGUUGGGACAUCCCAUAGGCGUAAUUGUUUUUAUACUGUACAAACUGUAUAUUCUAUCGACCUUCACCAACCCUACACCUAAACCUGACACACACACACAGCCUCAUAUGCACUGCACUCUAUCAGUUACACUGACUGGACUUACUAUUAUUCUGCUCCUUGACAUUCAGUUUGCACUAAUUCAUAGUGUACUGCACUGCAAAGGUAUAUCUACAGUACAUUAUUGAGUGAUUGUUUUUUAUUAUUUUUAUUUUCUGCUCUCUGUACAGUAUAAUAUUGCCAUAUAUAUUAUUUUCUACCUGGAUUGAGCCCUUAUGUAUACUGUGUAUAGUUUAAUACUGUUUAUGUGUUGCAAAUAUAUUCAGGACUUGUCAUGCUGUCAUGCUGCAGAGUUUGCAACAAACCAUUUCACUUCCU